GAUGAAGAACGUAGCGAAAUGCGAUACGUAAUGUGAAUUGCAGAAUUCAGUGAAUCAUCGAAUCUUUGAACGCACAUUGCGCCCGCCAGUAUUCUGGCGGGCAUGCCUGUCCGAGCGUCAUUUCAACCCUCGAACCCCUCCGGGGGGUCGGCGUUGGGGAUCGGCCCUUUCACCGGGUGCCGGCCCCUAAAUACAGUGGCGGUCUCGCCGCAGCCUCUCAUGCGCAGUAGUUUGCACACUCGCACCGGGAGCGCGGCGCGUCCUCGUCCGUAAAACACCCCAAACUUCUGAAAUGUUGACCUCGGAUCAGGUAGGAAUACCCGCUGAACUUAAGCAUAUCAAUAAGCGGAGGA
rnacentral:misc_RNA from 1 species